GAGGGUGGAGCUGGAGGGAGCCUACUGUCCUGCAGCACUUGCUGCCCCUGCUCCAGAGUCGCCCGGAGCAGCUAGGGCUUGCAGGGAAUCCAGGACCAAGCGGGAUCGGGGCCAGUAGACACCCACCUCUAACCUGGACCUGGAGAACAAGAAAACACCCCACUCCAAAUUGCCAUGGCAAUAGCACGUGAACGUGUUCCUGGCCGCAGGCAGGUCACCCUGCGUGGAGGAGCUGCACCAGGAGGCCCAGUUCAAUCUCCAGAGCUUGCUACAAGAGGAGUAUGAGGAGCAGUACACAGAGGCUAGGGUCACUGGUCAGACCUUCCACUACGCCAGCCACCUGCCCCUGGACAUGCCCCCUGAGCCCUCUCCCAGGCCUCUGCCCACCAAGCGCCUGGAGUUCGUGUUUAUGCCCGCAGCUCGGCAAGUGAAUGAGGACGAGGCCACCACACUGGGUGUGAGGCCCCCAGAGCCGUUUCUGAGCCUACCCACCACCCCAGACAAGCAGCCAGCCUGGACCCGAGCCUUCCCUUUGCCCACCGUGGAGGAGAAGAGGUGGCACCAAUCCUGCUCCAUCCAAGCCAACAUUGUCCCCAUCAAUGUCUCUGGACAGCAUUUUGAUAGGACGCGAGUGCGCGGCACUCCUUGUUUAACACAGAGACCGCGGUGAACCCCAAGUCCACGCUGCGGCGAAGACGG